CCUACGGGCGGCAGCAGUGGGGAAUAUUGCACAAUGGGCGCAAGCCUGAUGCAGCCAUGCCGCGUGUGUGAAGAAGGCCUUCGGGUUGUAAAGCACUUUCAGCGGGGAGGAAGGCGUUAAGGUUAAUAACCUUGCCGAUUGACGUUACCCGCAGAAGAAGCACCGGCUAACUCCGUGCCAGCAGCCGCGGUAAUACGGAGGGUGCAAGCGUUAAUCGGAAUUACUGGGCGUAAAGCGCACGCAGGCGGUCUGUCAAGUCGGAUGUGAAAUCCCCGGGCUCAACCUGGGAACUGCAUUCGAAACUGGCAGGCUAGAGUCUUGUAGAGGGGAGUAGAAUUCCAGGUGUAGCGGUGAAAUGCGUAGAGAUCUGGAGGAAUACCGGUGGCGAAGGCGGCCCCCUGGACAAAGACUGACGCUCAGGUGCGAAAGCGUGGGGAGCAAACAGGAUUAGAUACCCCUGUAGUC
rnacentral:rRNA from 1 species